ACAGUGGACGCGAGCAUCUGUGGCCAAGUUUUUAAGGGCGCACGGUGGAUGCCUUGGCACCAGGAACCGAUGAAGGACGUGGGAGGCCGCGAUAGGCCCCGGGGAGCUGUCAACCGAGCUGUGAUCCGGGGGUGUCCGAAUGGGGAAACCCGGCAGUCGUCAUGGGCUGUCACCCGCUGCUGAACACAUAGGCAGUGUGGAGGGAACGAGGGGAAGUGAAACAUCUCAGUACCCUCAGGAAGAGAAAACAACCGUGAUUCCGGGAGUAGUGGCGAGCGAAACUGGAUGAGGCCAAACCGUAUGUGUGUGAGACCCGGCAGGGGUUGCGCAUGCGGGGUUGUGGGAUUGCUCUUUCAUCGUCUGCCGGCGAUGAGGCGAGUGAGAAACCGUUGAUGUAGGCGAAGGGCAUGCGAAAGGCCCGGCGUAGAGGGUAAGACCCCCGUAGCUGAAACGUUAGCGGCUCGUUUGAGUUAUUCCCAAGUAGCACGGGGCCCGAGAAAUCCCGUGUGAAUCUGGCGGGACCACCCGCUAAGCCUAAAUAUUCCCUGGUGACCGAUAGCGGAUAGUACCGUGAGGGAAUGGUGAAAAGUACCGCGGGAGCGGAGUGAAAUAGUACCUGAAACCGUGUGCCUACAAGCCGUGGGAGCGUCGGACGUGU
rnacentral:rRNA from 1 species